CUAAAUCAAAAUGAAAACACCAGUGUCAAAUUAAUCAAAAAUAAAAGAAAACGCAAUUAAGUUGCGGGUUUAGAAUGCAAAAACUGAUUUUAACUUGCGAAACAACUGUUGUACUCUAAAUUUGAAUUAAAUGAGAGAAAAUUAAUAAUACUCGGAGCCUGAUAUGACUCAAAGUCAGGACCUUUUGCUCUGAUACCAUGUAAAAUAAUUAUUGUAUUUUAAAAAUUUAAGUCGUUAGCAAACGAUAUUUAUAUAUUUUUAUAAUUAACAUAACUUUUCGUCACAAUAGCAAAUCAAUUAACGAACCCCUUAGCACUACAGGAGAGAUGAGCUUUUUGUGUAAUAAGUACUAAAGACCCCUUAUGAGAAAAAUUUUUAUUAAAUAAUCUGAGAAUUCAUCACAAAAGAGAUGAGCAAAGGUCAAAUGAUUUUACAUUAAUGAGCUCAUGUUUUUGCCCAUUUAACUUUGUAAUGUAAGCCCGGUUAGAAUCCGUAUGUUUUGUUCAACGUAGAAUUGUGAAAAAUAAUUUUCCGUGUAAAAAAAUUUUCGGUGUAAAAUUUUUUUUUACAUUUUGUACUGUUUGGUUUAUAAGGAAAAAAAUAAUUUUUCAUCGAUAUUUAUUUAGCUGAAAGAAAUAAAAAUCAUGUUUAUUUACUUUGGUGAAGAGAAAUGAAUGAAGAAACUUUACAUAGGUGGUAUUUCGUUUUUCGCCGAAAAAUAACAAAAAGUGCAAACUUUUUUUUUUUUUUCCAAAUACGUGAAAUUACCUUUACGAAAAAUUAUUUUUUAAUUUAUUUUACACCGAACCAAACGCACCAUUAGUAACAUUUUGUAUACGUGUGGGAAUAACAAUAUCCGAUUAAUUAUAUGCCGUGAACUUGUUUGUGAAUUUCAUAAAUACAAU
rnacentral:lncRNA from 1 species